UACGUAGGGUGCAAGCGUUGUCCGGAAUUAUUGGGCGUAAAGAGCUUGUAGGCGGUUUGUCGCGUCUGCUGUGAAAUUUCGGGGCUCAACCCCGAACUUGCAGUGGGUACGGGCAGACUAGAGUGUGGUAGGGGAGGCUGGAAUUCCUGGUGUAGCGGUGAAAUGCGCAGAUAUCAGGAGGAACACCGAUGGCGAAGGCAGGUCUCUGGGCCAUAACUGACGCUGAGAAGCGAAAGCAUGGGGAGCGAACAGG
rnacentral:rRNA from 1 species